UUCUGAGAAGAUUGUGACGUCCAGGCCCCGCGUGCUGAUGCACUGUGGACGUCACCUUGCCUGAUUGGACAGUUUGCCAGCCUUGAGUGCACGGAAUGUCACAAAGCACGGAGCCAAUCAGCGUCCCCCAUAGCAAGGACCCCUAACUUCAAGUUGUCCUGGAUGGGAACAGCGAGAGACAGACAUGGGUUCAGGUCUGAAAUGGCCGCCCCUGGGCUCCGCCUCCCCGCGGCUGGAGGGCUCUCACCUCUGAGCUCCUGCUACCCACUGGCCUCGCCCUGGGUCCCCGUCCUUCUCCCUGCGGAUGCUGCCUGGAGCUGGCGGUAACCUGUUGCAGAGAGGAGGUACAGUAAUUCUGCAAUACCAGCAUCCAUCUGUCAUAUGCAAUUUCACAUGAGAAAAUACUAAGAAGAAGGCCCUGCAGACUUAACCAAGUAGUUCAGCGGCAAAGUGGGGAGUUGAAGUGAAGAAUUCAAACCAAGAAUGCUUUAAGGUAAGAAUGAAAAAGAAAGAAAAGAAAGCUUCUCCACUUCUCCUGCCUGCAAGGAUAGACAUAUGUCUGCCUGCCAGUGGGGUCCCUCAGCUAGUUCCAAGCCACCAGUGAACUCUGCUCUGCAGAUCUGCAGCUGUGCGUUGAGGUUGGGGGUGCUUGAUGGAAGGGGUAUAGGGAUAGAAUACAUUG